AACCUAGCACACCUGCGGUGUGUACCUGCGGAGGGAUCAUUACAGAGUUGCAAAACUCCCUAAACCAUUGUGAACGUUACCUAAACCGUUGCUUCGGCGGGCGGCCCGGGUCCUUCCCGGCGCCCAUCGGCCCUCGCGGGCGCCCGCCGGAGGUAAACCAAACUAUUGCAUUGUAUGGCCUCUCUGAGUCUUCUGUACUGAAUAAGUCAAAACUUUCAACAACGGAUCUCAGAUCGGAAG
rnacentral:misc_RNA from 1 species